rnacentral:rRNA from 1 species
UACGAAGGGGACUAGCGUUGUUCGGAAUCACUGGGCGUAAAGCGCACGUAGGCGGAUUGCUAAGUCAGGGGUGAAAUCCUGGAGCUCAACUCCAGGACUGCCUUUGAUACUGGCGAUCUCGAGUCCGGGAGAGGUGAGUGGAACUGCGAGUGUAGAGGUGAAAUUCGUAGAUAUUCGCAAGAACACCAGUGGCGAAGGCGGCUCACUGGCCCGGUACUGACGCUGAGGUGCGAAAGCGUGGGGAGCAAACAGG